AAAAGUUACAGCUCUUCUAGAAUUUGUUGAGCAGGUUUUCAGUUCUGUACCGGAAGUACCCCU
ensembl:snRNA U7 U7 small nuclear RNA